AAAUUUCAGAUCUAUUCUGAACCAAACUACGGAUGGAAACCUGGUCCAAAACUUUAAAAACUUUAGUCUCAACCCAGAAUCCAGGUAUAAGAUAAUCCCGAAGAAGUAUGACAAGGAAAAGAUUAUGAAAUAUUAUGAUUCAGAUAAUCCAGACGAACUUGUCUUUCUCCAGGAUAGGUUUAAGGAGACAAGAUUUUUCGACAAUGCUCAGCACAAAAGUAUUCUCAAGAAGUUUAGAUCAAAGUUCAGCAAGGGGAAGAAAGAUGGAGAAAAAACUAAAGAUGGAAAGAAGACUACAGAAAAAUAAUAAUAAAAGAUCAAGAGAAUCAGCACGUUCAGAGUGUUCACAAAACUAGAAUUCGGAUUUAAAUUAAACCAAUUCGAAUUUUAGAAUCUUUAGAAACUCAUGGAGUUUGUGUACAAGUUUCGUAAUUCAAUCAAUUUACAUCCAGCUCAUCCAGCACCUCUUUUUCAUUUUCACGUGCACUCCCUUUUAUUCCCCCUAUCCUUGCUAGAAUAUUCAUGUUUAAAGGUUGUAUAAAUUGUUUUUCAUUAUUAUUCAGAGAGAGGUUUUAACAUUGUAACAAGAUAAUCCUUUCAAUGCUAGAGAACAUCUUUUUUAUAUUAAUGAUUUCCCCGGAUAGGAGGGUUAUCCCCCCCCCCCCCUCCUAUCAUUGAUUCUUUUGAUUUCCCCGGAUAGGAGGGUUAUCCCCCCCCCUUCUAACAUUGAUUCUUUUGGUUUCCCGGGAUAGGAGGGUUUCCCCCCCCCCUCCUAACAUUGAUUUGGUUUCCCCAAAAUCAUGUUUACAAUUAAAAAUUAUCAUAUUUAUGUAUUUCAUCUAAAUAUAAUAAUUCUUUUGCA